GGUAGAGUGACACUGGUUUUGAUGUCUAGCCUGGGGGAAAAACAAUAACAUAAAAUCAUGUUUGUUGAAGGAAAAAAAAAUAAAACAAAACAAAUCAAUAGAAUUUAAUGUUUAUUUUUUUGUUUUUGUUGAACAAAAUACAAAUUGAAAACGCCCAUGUUAAAGAAUAUGACUUUACAGAGCCAGCCGAGAAACCCGACGGUCGACACAUAGCCUAUCCACGAACUGCAUCUAGGCCCUCCAUUGAGCUAGGCUCAAAUUUUUUUUUUCCAUGUUACGGCGCAGGAGGCGGCCCCAUAGGGAAAGUUAUACGUUCGGCAUGGGUUAGGGCUACGCUGUCACGAGAAGAAAAUCUUACUUACAUUGCCAAAAGAAAAAGUAAUUGCUGCUGGGCUAGCGUCCUAUGUAGGAAUAUUUUGAAAGCCUCAGCUUCUCUUCACCUGCUAAACAUUCGGAACAUUCCCGAACUGUCUGUGUUUAACAUAAAGCACAACUGUGGUACCUCACAUAGAGGAGAGAUAAACACAGACAGUGAGGUACCACAGUUGUUAAUAAACGGUACGGUUUUACGAAUGAAAUAAUAAUGUAAAUUGA